rnacentral:misc_RNA from 1 species
GACGGAGGACCCAAGCGUUAUUCGGAAUCAUUGGGUUUAAUGGGUCCGUAGGCGGGUUAAUAAGUCAGUGGUGAAAGUCUGCAGCUCAACUGUAGAAUUGCCAUUGAUACUGUUAACCUUGAGUAAUUAUGAAGUGGUUAGAAUAUGUAGUGUAGCGGUGAAAUGCAUAGAUAUUACAUAGAAUACCGAUUGCGAAGGCGGAUCACUAAUAAUUUACUGACGCUGAUGGCCGAAAGCGUAGGUAGCGAACAGG